UACGUAGGGUGCAAGCGUUGUCCGGAAUUAUUGGGCGUAAAGAGCUCGUAGGCGGUUUGUCGCGUCUGCUGUGAAAACCCGAGGCUCAACCUCGGGCCUGCAGUGGGUACGGGCAGACUAGAGUGCGGUAGGGGGAGAUUGGAAUUCCUGGUGUAGCGGUGGAAUGCGCAGAUAUCAGGAGGAACACCAAUGGCGAAGGCAGGUCACUGGGCCGCAACUGACGCUGAGGAGCGAAAGCAUGGGGAGCGAACAGG
rnacentral:rRNA from 1 species